GUGUGCAAAUCCCCUCUUUUCCCCCCUCCUCCUCUGCAGGGGGUCUUCCUCGGACCGCCAUCUAAUCCCUGUGGCCUUCGUAUCGGAAAAAUGGUUUGAGAUCUCGUGUUGACUGGCCAAACUCUGUUUUUAACUUCCUGGAGGGGCAGCCGGACGCCGCGCAGCUGUUCUGUGCCCACCCAAACAGGCACCGACACGGGUAGAGUGGACUUCCUUGGACCUAUUAAAAGCUGGUGGCCCCUCAUCUUGUUCUCAAGAAAAAGCCCACAGAUCCAUGGCAAGAGUUCACGAGAGGAUAGAGUGGAGCUUCUCUCUUGUGGAGAUACAUCAAAGAGAAGGGAAGCGGUGAGGACAAUCCACCCGAGGUUUAGCAGGACGUGCAUUCCGGAGAAGGGGAACAAGAAAGCAUCCAAUUCCUUCCUGAGUGAAGAAGACACACACACACA
rnacentral:lncRNA from 1 species